CCUUGGGUGGUGCAAAUGGUUAACACACUCAGCUACUAACUGAAAGGAUGGAGGUUCGAAUCCACCCAGAGGU
rnacentral:tRNA from 1 species